CCGUAGCCAUGUUGGCUCAAG
rnacentral:sRNA from 1 species